rnacentral:lncRNA from 1 species
CUGCCCGAUCGCCUUGGAAGCCCUGUAGACAAUUACAGAUGCCGAGCUUCGGGUAACUCUCAGAGUGGAGGAUGAGAUAUCUGGAAUUGCACAGCCAACUUACCACCGUGAGGGCAACUGUCCUGAAGACCAAUCCAACCUGUGGAAGUCAGCAGAGCAGAAAGAGUAGAUCUCUGGUCCCCAAAGACGUUGUUGAGUUAUCAGAUUUUCUUCUGCCUCUGCCACCCCUGAGACAGCAAGACCAACCCAUCCUCCUCCUCCUCAGCCUGCUCAAUGUGAAGAAAAUGAGGAUGCAGACCUU